rnacentral:lncRNA from 1 species
UCCGUCGACUCCCCAAUCCCUGCCGGUGACCUCUACCCACGCUCUCCUCUGCCCCUCACUUUCCCUCCAAAGGGAAGGCCCCAUACCGGCCGGAUCCACCACGCCCACAGUGGGGCUUCCGGAUCCGACGCCCGCAACCAGAGGAGGAGUGCCUUACGGAUCCCAUCUGCUCUCUUCCACAAUUCCACCCAUGGAGGUGUUCUUCUUCAUCUCCAUACCUGAUUCGUGAGAUUUUUUUUGUGUGUGCAGGUUGCUCUGAUCCGAUCUGGUCAAGGGGGCCGUGGAGAAGCUGCUCCCAUCGGCCAGCCAAGGAGAAGCUGCUCAACAUCACCACCACCUGCUCCAAUUAAUCCGCCUGUAACGUAACCCGAGGUGGCAUCUCUUCCUUCGUUCAGAUUUGACCGCCCAUGCACACUUUGGGGUCCAUCUAGUUUGGGUGAAACGGAGGGUGCCUUAUUUUUUUGGUUUCUCUUCUGCUGUGACAAACGCAUCAGCAGCUCACGUAGCUUCUUGUUGGUAACAAAUGCGUACAUCAACUGACCCAAGUAGCCUGGAUGUACUCCCUCAGUCACAAAAUAAGUGACUCGACUUUGUACUAAAGCUAGUAUAACGUUUAGUCACUUAUUUUGGGAGGGAGGAAGUAUUAUUUUUUGGUAACAAAUACAUUGACUCCAACCAUCAAUUAAUUCUGUACUUAUUGCAGAUUUCUUGGCCGUUGCACUUGGAUUGACUCAGCAACUCUCUAGUUUUACUUCCCUCUAGCUGGCUAGCUAACAUUUUUAAGGCUCAGUGCACCGCAAUAAAUUGUUGGGUAAAAUUCUGCCCUAAUAGUCUGAUACACACCCAUUUACUUCACUGAUGAUGAAUGGGCUGUAGAUGUUGUCGUUUCGUGUUAUCCAGGGUUCGCUGCUCUUUAGCGAGAAUCAUUUGAGUGCUACUAGUAUAUUGUCUCUUUCUUGCUCGUGCAUUUUUGGAUUCCUCGCCGUGUCAUGUGUUAGUAAAGUGCUAAAGCCGCUUUCCUGUGUACCACACUAGACAUGUUAGCAUCAUUGGCAUAUGGUGGCUGUGUAAUCACCAACAUGGCAACAUGUCUGAGUCGCUUGUUUUCUUUUUGCUUCUGUUCGCUUGUUUCUCAUCCGUAGAAAAAUUUCUAAACUCAUUCACUAGCAGGUUGCUUUCCUUCUAGCAUAAGUAUUGCCAACUUGUGUAUACCUUGAUUCAGAGAUCAAUCACAUCUUGAUUCAGAGAAACCAUACUGCACAAUUAUGCUAUUUCCUGACAUGAGAAGAACACCCCAGCGCAUAACUAGUCUGUAGACAUGUGCCAUGGAAAUUCUGACAUUUUCUUGGGUUAAAGAAACAUUUUCUUUUAUUAAGUCGUGGCAUGACACCAAAAGAACCUAGUAUGUAACUAAUGCUAUAUAGAUUCGAUUCUUCUGAAACUUAUGCUUUUUUUUGUUCGAAGACUGAACUUAUCCAUUUGAUAUAGAAAAUUGAACAUCAUAAGUCAGAUUGCCAUGGGUUCAUAAGUCAGACCGCCUUCCGUUCCUGCAUUACCACCACCAUUCUUUCUGCAAUAGUAUCUGAAUCCUGCCACUCUGCUGCACCGUUACCAACCUUACUUACUGUCUAAAACAAAUUCAGUCGCCAUUCACAAGUUGGAACAAGAUAAAUGAAGUGGGUUUACGAAUUUGAGAUCAUUCUCACUAGCUUUGGUAACUUAGAGAUAUUUAGCAUUCUUAACGAACCCCUAGCAUCUUCUUUGAGUUAGUAAUGUUAUUACAUACGUCUGUACUGUUGAUGGUUACUACUGUUAGUUAUGCACUUGAGUGAUGGGUCUGUAGGAUAAUAAGAUCAUCAACUCUACUACACAGGGUCUGUAGGAUAAUGCUGAUCAAAAUAUUGAUAUGUUAGGACUAGUUUCCUAGUGCAAAUGCACUAAGAAAAAUCAUACGCCAAUUGACAUUUAUGCUAGCUAGCUAUAUUCAGUUGGUAGGUGCUCGUACUUAAACUGCACAUUUAAAAUUUAAGCUUUGUUAGUGUUAUCUAUUUAGUCUGAUUUAUACACUGCAUUCCUAAGCUGAAAUAUUUUUUGUAACUGAAAUAUAUAGUCUGAGUUUCAUUCAGUUAUUUGUCACUUUUUAACUGAAUAUCUUUUUGUAACUGAAAUAUAUGUGUACUUACAGUGCAUAUUCGCAUUGUAUCAGAAUCUUAGUCCUUUUCUCCUGUCUCGUCUGAGAUUAUGCUUCCUCUUCAUUUAUUCAUUAUAUCUAUAUGCCUUGCUGAUGCUCAUUUCUAUCGUUGCAGGAUAAUGAGAUGUUGAAGCGGCAGAGUGAAUCCAUGAGACUGUAGUGCAAUUGCACCGUUCCAUUAAAUAUUACUCAGGAAUAAGGACAUUUCAAUGGCAGAUUAGCUCUAUUUUUCCUUUUCAUUUUUCUUACUAUUGGAGUGAGGACAUGUAGAAUGAGAAACUGUGUGGUAGCAGAUAUGGCAACUGUGUGAUAGUAGAAUCAGGAAUAAGGAAUAUGGCAACUGUGUGAUAGUGACAUUUUUCCAUCACAAUUGUUUCUUGGAAUUGUAUGCACAAAAUGGAAUUGGUUAAUUUUAUUUUUUUUAAAUCCUAAAUAGUUAGUAGUAGCGUGGGAACAAAUUGAGCGCUACUAGUAUU